rfam:Loxodonta africana unplaced genomic scaffold scaffold_9, whole genome shotgun sequence.
GAACUGGCCUCUUUAGAGGCCAACUUAUUGAUUCAACAAUAUUAAAU